UGAUUUUAGAUCAUUGGUUUAGCUUUAAUUUAAUUAAUUUUUUAGGUGUUAUGUUUAUAUAGUAUUUAAUAUUAAUGUUUUAAUUUUUAAUAUUUAAAUUUUGAAUAAUAUUAUAGAACUUAUUUUAACAUUUUAUUUUAUAAUAAUUUUUUUUUAUUUUUUUAUAUUAGAUCACAAGUUAGCUCGUCUAAUUCAUGAUCUAGAUGAUCUAAGUUAAUGUUUUCGUAUUAAAACUCAUAUAAUAAAAGAACUGAACUGAUUUAGCUCAUGAAAGAUCCAAGUUAACUAUGAGUUGAGCUUCGUUGAGCGAGUUAAUUCAUUUUAACACUCCUGCAUUUUACUAUUUGAUUUUUUAUAACACUUUUACUAUUUUAUUUUAUUAAUAUAAAAAGGAUAUGUCACAGAAUUAUUAUUAUUAGAAUAAUUUUUUUUUUGAAUUAUACAGAGGUAUCCUGGCCCCACAGAAGUGAUCC
rnacentral:lncRNA from 1 species